CAUCUAGUCUGCCCAAUUUUCUAAAUACUUUCUUUAGUCCCUAGCCUUAUCUUAUAGUUAGGAUAGCCUUAUGCCUAUCCCACGCAUGCUUAAACUCCUUGACUGUGUUAACCUCUACCACUUCAGCUGGAAGGCUAUUCCAUGCAUCCACUACCCUCUCAGUAAAGUAAUACUUCCUGAUAUUAUUUUUAAACCUUUGUCCCUCUAAUUUAAGACUAUGUCCUCUUGUUGUGGUAGUUUUUCUUCUUUUAAAUAUAGUCUCCUCCUUUACUGUGUUGAUUCCC